rnacentral:lncRNA from 1 species
AUAAAAGAUAUAGAUCUUAAAAUUUUCAUUUCAACCACAUUUUUUGAUCUUCAAAAGCUAUCUUAUAACUCCUUGUAUUUUUAAAAGAAUAAUAAUAUAUCUUAAAUUAAUACCUUAACUUCAAACGGCUAUAACUUCUUCAUCUUGAUUCCAAAUCCUUUAAUAUUUGUAAAAAAAUUAUAAUCCAAAUCCUAAAAUUUACAAUCCUAUCUUCUAACUUCCAAAUGCCCUCUUUGAAGUCGCCAAAAUCAUUAUUAAGAUUGUAGGUAGCCUCUUCAAAGUCCAUUGGGCAUGGUAUUUGACCAAUAAAGAUGAAGUUCUCCAUUCCUGGCCUUCAUCCGACUGUGCCUUGCUUUCAUCCUUUUCAAUUAGCCUCUUACUAGUUUAGAUUUUAAUCCUUAGGCUUCCAUCUUCUCUUAAGGCUUUAUACUAAACAUUUAGGUCGUAUAUUUUUUUUAAUGCCAAAAUUAAAAUAAGUAAAAAAACAAAGUAAAUUUUCUUAUAGUAAUUCAUUUUAAUUUAAUUUAAUAACCAUUCUAACACACAUUUAGAUUUAUUAAUAUAUAAUAUAUUUUAAUUAGUUUUUACGUACUAUAAGUAUUUACAGUAUGACAUCCACCCCCUUCAAACCUGCACAUUCUCCGAUAUGUGCUAAUCUUACCAUCCCUACUUUUUUCAUCUUUAUUUUUUUUGUAUCUUCUUUUUGGUUUAGAUAUAGUAUUUCAAAAUUUCAAAGAUUACUUGGAA